CAGUAGCCGCGGUAAUACGUAGGGUGCAAGCGUUAAUCGGAAUUACUGGGCGUAAAGCGCACGCAGGCGGUCUGACAAGUCAGAUGUGAAAUCCCCGGGCUUAACCUGGGAACUGCAUUUGAAACUGUCAGGCUGGAGUCUUGUAGAGGGGGGUGGAAUUCCAGGUGUAGCGGUGAAAUGCGUAGAGAUCUGGAGGAAUACCGGUGGCGAAGGCGGCCCCCUGGACAAAGACUGACGCUCAGGUGCGAAAGCGUGGGGAGCAAACAGGAUUAGAUACCCGGGUAGUCCCUGUCUCUUAUAC
rnacentral:rRNA from 1 species